CAUCAUUUUCAUUAAUACCAAUUAUAGCAAUUAAUUGUCCCAAAUAUGGUUCCUUGAGGUGAUAAGCAUCUAAGGCUAUUAUAGGCCUGUAACUAUCCAAAAAACCUUGCUUACAUGUAGCAAAACAGACAUAAAUUCUUUUAAAGAUUGGUUCAACAAGAGAAUAUAGUGUAUUAACAAGCAUCUUCACUAUGUUACCAUCAUUUGUCCUCCUAAUCUUCUCAGCAUAAUUUCAUAGUUUGCCGAAUUACUCUACAAUUGAACCCUGUAUCAUCUCCAUAGCCUUCCUCUUUGCCUAGUAUGCUUGGGAUCUUGAUAUUUAUGCAGUCAGAUCGUGCCUAAUCUGUACAAUUAUCUCAUAUGACUUUUAAGAAGGCUACCUCUUGAAUUGGUACUUGUUAGAUAAAUAACUUGAUUUCAUAUUCUUAUUCCAACUCUCUCUACAAUAACUGUGCUUGCCAUAAUAAGAGUUGAUAUGUAUAAUUGAUCUAUCCUGCAUCGAUCAAAGAAGGAUGCGACUUCCACCUAUAAUUACCUUGGCAUAUUUCUCUCACUCUCACUUUGUCAUUUUUCACCAACUUCAUAUUUUGCUCCCCAUUUAUUGCAUGUUCUCUUAUUACCACUUUUAGUAGGACGAAGCUCUUGAAUUUUAUGUCCAACUUAAAUUGAGCAGUCAAAUUAUUUUUGUCCUCUCUAAAACAUCGAGGGUAUCAUCUUGCUCUUCAUCUGAACCUACAUGUGAAUGCAACUCCUCAGACUAUGCAUAAUUUAAGAAAAUAUCCUGCUAGCUUUUACCCUCUUUAGUCCUAGGUUUAACCUUUUCAGCCCUC
rnacentral:lncRNA from 1 species